AAUACCCAACCAACUAAAUGGAAGUGAGUCACGACCCUUUUUGAACCGCCUUCCUCCAUAACAUGGCCGCGACGGUUAUGGAAAAAAUAAAUUGUCGUCCCCAUUUUAACUUUCCCACUUAAAACACAUUCACACUCAUAACCAAAAUGCAAAGCAAAGCAAAAAACGCAAACGCAAGGCAACGAAAAGACGUAGAUGCAGAUGACUCUCAAUUGGAAACCACUAGACCUCUCUCAACUGGAAGAAACGAAAACCACCACUCUCAAGAGGAAAACACAAAGAAAAAUCUCUAAGUAAACUCAAGAGGGAGAAAGACAAACAGUUAGCUGGGUGAGUUGAGAAUGAUGAUACUGAUGUUGUAAAAUCGGAAACAAUUACACCCAUUGUACCAUCGUUAGGCAGCCCCCUGCUGCUGUAGGAAUCGUAUAAUUUCCGGGUCAUCAUGCAGUGUCUAUCGCAAUCGAGUUUUUCGACCUGCUAGAAACCAGUGGCAGCCUACUAGCAAUGUGUUGAAUAUGGCAUUGUUAUGGAUUCCUAUGGUAAUUUCUUCUAUGAUGUUAGUAAGUAUAUAUAGCAUAUUUAGUUGUGUUUGGGUUUUCUGUAAUGAAAAUUCUCUAAAUUCAUGAUUAUGUUUCCAUUGUUAGGUUUUAGUAGUGUCGAUGCUAGCACCAAGAUUGUAUACGCAUGAAGAUGUGGUUGUAAUUCAAUAUCAAGGGAAUGAAUUUUUUUGCAUCGUGUGCUUAGAACUUGUUUGGAAGCUCGAGCAACACCUGCUCAGACAUAUUUGUUUGUUAUUAACCUAACCAUUACCCUUUACUUUUUCAAUCGGCUUUGACAACAUCUUCGCCCCUUGACAUUGCGCAUCGUAGGUUGCAUAUGACAACACCAUUAUCCAUCUCAUUUUGUUCUCUUUAUCUUAGUGAUUUUCUAAACAUUUAAGUGAGUUUGGUUUUUAUUUAAUCUAUUGUUUUCCUAAUUGAAUCUAUUGUUUUCAUGAUUGAAUCUACUGUUUGGUUGCCAUCCAAGGUUUGGAUUGAAUUUAGUGUUCUCCUAAUUAAAGUGGGUUUGUGUUUUAUUUAAUAAUUUGUUGAUCCAAGGUUGGAUAUGAGAACAACCUCAUACCUACUUUUCCAGUUCAUAUGGUUCUUAACAUUGAAGUGAGUUUGGUUUUGUAGCCUUCUUUGUAGGUGUUUAUUGCCAUUGGAUCAAAACUUAAAUAUCAUGAUUUCCCUGUUGAUUAAUCAUUCUAGUUCCCUGUUUAUUUCCUUGUUGGUAAAAUAGCUUCCACGGGAUUGUUGCUGACAACCAAAUUCAACUAGGAUGCAUGGAAAAUGGUGUGAGUUAUUGUAGUCUCAACACAUAUAUACAAGCUUUAUAGGAAAGAGAACAAAAACUAGUAUAAGAAAUUUUUUUGAUUUAUAUGGAUGCAAUUUUAUCCCUAAAAAAUAUCAAGGAUGAAAAAAACGAAGAUGAUAAUCUUGUAAGCUCAACUCUCGGUUUAUUUUUCUUCCGCUUUUGUAAUUUCUAUUAACAACUAAAAUGUUCCUUUCUGGUAUAAUCUUAUGUAUAAAAUAUUUACUUUCAGGUAUAUUCUUUUGUAUAACAUCUACUAUUGUAUGCAUAUGAAGCUGCUCUCAAUCAUGAAUGGUUUCGUGAAGUUCCUCUGCCCAAGAGCAAAGAAUUCAUGCCUACAUUUUCUGCAGGACAUGAUAAGUACAGGUCAGGUGCCAUGUUCUUCCGUGCUGAGAAAUGAGAAUUUUGUUUGGUUUGGAAUAAUGCAACAGCUGGUCAUUGUUUGGUUCAGCUCGGGAUUAUCGUUUUGGAGUAUUGCAGUAGCUAGUCGCUAUUGCGGUUAGAAGAUAGCAGAAUACAAACCAACUUUCAGAUGUUCUGAUUUUCAAUUUUCUGAGUAGUCGUUCAUUGUUAGGCUCAGCUCUGGUUUAUUGUGCUCGCCAUGGUAUAUCGUUGUUUUUGGUUAUGUAUUGUUUCCUCUGUUAUUCGGAAAGGGGGCAAUAUGAAAUAGGUGGUUGUUUUCGGAGGUCCAGAGAUGUAGAUUAUCAUGUUGCUGCUCUUUCUGGUAUUUGUAAUUUGAUCUAGGAGUUUUUUUUUCUUUUUCCUUUACACUAGUGUGAGGAACUUGUAUCAAUUCAUUGUACUUGUGUGAGGCAUCACUUAUGCCUUCUUAUUAAUAUAUCUCUUUUUGUUGGUUAAAAAAAUUAG